rnacentral:misc_RNA from 1 species
UCCCUGUUACCAGGGCAGUCUGUUUAGAAAAAUUCAACUAAACAAAAGGGUUGCGCUCGUUGAUGGACUUAACCAAACAUCUCACGACACGAGCUGACGACGGCCAUGCAUCACCUGUCACUACGGCCCGAAGGCACUUUCUCCUUUCGGAGAAAUUAGUAGGAUGUCAAACCUGGGUAAGGUUCUUCGCUUAUCAUCGAAUUAAACAACACGCUCCACCGCUUGUGCGGGUCCCCGUCAAUUCCUUUAUGUUUUAAGCUUGCGCUCGUACUCCACAGGCGGGAUGCUUAACGCGUUAGCUUCGCUACUACCAGGGUCGAUACUGAUAACAGCUAGCAUCCAUCGUUUACGGCGUGGACUAC